UCCACUUCUAAUUUUAUCCCGAGCGUAUCCGAGGCCAAGGAAGAGUAGGGUGAGGAAGAGGAGGAAGUGCUGGAUCCGGGAGGCGUCUCCCUUGGGGCAUCCCAUUGCUUCUGAGCAAGAAGCGCAAGGGCACCAAUGUGAUCCUCCUCAAGUUCCUUUGGGCCCAAUAGUUCGAGGCCACCGAGGCGUUGGAGAUCUUCGGAGGACGCUGCGUUGACGAUGGGAGUUCGGGCUCGAGUGCGCGAGAGAUGUUUGUGAGAAUGACGAAGAGGCGGCGGCACUGGCAGAGCACCUUAAGGGUACGACCUACAUCGUGAGGCGCAAUUGAGAUGGGAACCCCAUGUGCUACAAUGUCUCAAGUUUGUUUAUCUGCUCGGUGAUCCUCAUUUGGAGGCCAAAAAGGGUUUGGAACACGUUGAGGGAGGAUGAAUGGGGUUGGCUUAUAUUAAUCCACUGGGACUCUUUGUUUUGGGGUACAGACAUCAAGUAGAAAUAGAUUGAAAGGCAUGCGGACAUUGGUGUUAUUCUCAAAGUGAAGCUUUUAGCUUCUUUGUCUAUGAUUGAUGGAGAGGUUGAUUGGAAGAUUGUUGCUAUCUCAUUGGAUGAUCCUCAAGCUGCACUUAUAAGAGUAUCUACAUCAGUCGUUUUAUAAUAUCUCUAAAAUUUAGUAUAAAUGGUUCACUUUAUUAAAUUUAGAUCAUCAUUUUUCACUAUACAUUACAUCAAUAUACCCUAAAAUUUUCAUUAUCUUUAUUUUUUUUAUUAUUUUCUUCUCUCUCUUUCACUUUUUUUUAUUAUUUUUUUCUCUCUAGGUUAUAUCUACUUUUCAUUACCCAAUCCAUUCCUUUUUUUCUCUUUCAAAUUAAAAUGAUAUUUUAAUAUUUAAGGAAAGAACUUUAUUCUUUAAAUUUAAAGAAGUAAUAUUCAUGUGAUGCAAAAGUUGUUUUUAUAUAAAAUAUAAAAUUUAAGAUAAAUUCUGUAUUUAGGGAAGCUGAUGUGGAUACUUUAAAUGAUGUAGAUGAUGUUGAA